rnacentral:rRNA from 1 species
GUCUACGGCCAUGCUACCCUGAACAAGCCUGAUCCCGUCUGAUCUCGGAAGCUAAGAGGGUCGGGCCUGGUUAGUACUAGGAUGGGAGACCACCUUGGAAGAGCAAGUGUUGUAGGAG